rnacentral:lncRNA from 13 species
CUAGGGAUGGCAUGAGAUACUCAGGCCGACUUGGGUGCAGGCAACAGAUCAUGCAAGCCUUCAUGGGGGCUGAGCCACUGGGUACCCUACCUGAUUUAGAUACAGUCCAGAAAGAACAGGCCGGAACUCACAAACUCUAGGUGUCCCCAGCACGUGCAGGUGGGCAGAGCCAUGACCACGGCACCAGGGACAUUUUUGCCUUAAAGUCCAGUGAGGACCCAGAGAAGAACAUGAGUGAGACUCCCCGUGGUGGCCACAGCAAGAGCUUCCAUUGCUGGGAGCUGUGGAGGGUGAUGCUUUCAGAAAUUGAAGUUGUACCUGAAAGUUUGUAAAUUGAGAGGAGAUGGAACCAGAAGCAAGAGAGAUACGACUAAUUGGCAGAUUUGUUCCCCUGCCCUCAAUGGAGUGAGGGCAUGCAAGGAAGAUAGAAUCAACUCUGGAAAAGCACAGAAACCUCCCUUUCUUUGCUCCUUUGUCAGCCUCUCUAGGGCCCUUGAACUGAACACUUAUUCUUUUAAAAGUCAUCAACACGGGAUCUGUUGCCAAGAAGAGAAGCCAAUUCUUGUCUCCAUGCUCUAGGAAGUGUUUUCUUUGUAGGCUGUUGGCAUGGAGGUGAAGAGCCUGGAACUUGAUACUGAAAUCUCAGUAAGAGAGCUGCCAUUGGGUACAGUUUAUUUUGGAAUUGGAAUUAAAGCAAAUACGUCCAGAAAUUGUACUCAGGAUAUUCAAAUAUAAGUAAUGAAAUAUUGUAAAUGUAACCACAACUAUAUCUUAUGGGAGAUCAAUAGAGAACUGAGUGGAUUUGCUCUGCUUUCACAAAGUAUACAUAGGUGUGCUAUUUUAUCAAUAAUUUUACCGAAGUAGGAAAUUCUAUUCAGAAAUUAGAACAAAAUUAAUUGUAAUUGACCUGUAAAAUAGUUUAACUUCAGAAAACCGCAUGUAUUAUCAGACCUAGUUAGACAUUUGGUUUUUACUUCUGAUGAUUACAGAAUAAAUAAUAAUUGUUUUUUAAAAAGACA